rnacentral:rRNA from 1 species
AGAGUUUGAUCCUGGCUCAGGAUGAACGCUAGCUACAGGCUUAACACAUGCAAGUCGAGGGGAAACGACAUCGAAAGCUUGCUUUUGAUGGGCGUCGACCGGCGCACGGGUGAGUAACGCGUAUCCAACCUGCCCAUCACUUGGGGAUAACCUUGCGAAAGUAAGACUAAUACCCAAUGAUAUCUCUAGAAGACAUCUGAAGGAGAUUAAAGAUUCAUCGGUGAUGGAUGGGGAUGCGUCUGAUUAGCUUGUUGGCGGGGUAACGGCCCACCAAGGCGACGAUCAGUAGGGGUUCUGAGAGGAAGGUCCCCCACAUUGGAACUGAGACACGGUCCAAACUCCUACGGGAGGCAGCAGUGAGGAAUAUUGGUCAAUGGGCGAGAGCCUGAACCAGCCAAGUAGCGUGCAGGAUGACGGCCCUAUGGGUUGUAAACUGCUUUUAUAAGGGAAUAAAGUGAGUCUCGUGAGACUUUUUGCAUGUACCUUAUGAAUAAGGACCGGCUAAUUCCGUGCCAGCAGCCGCGGUAAUACGGAAGGUCCGGGCGUUAUCCGGAUUUAUUGGGUUUAAAGGGAGCGUAGGCCGGAGAUUAAGCGUGUUGUGAAAUGUAGUGGCUCAACCUCUGCACUGCAGCGCGAACUGGUCUUCUUGAGUACGCACAACGUGGGCGGAAUUCGUGGUGUAGCGGUGAAAUGCUUAGAUAUCACGAAGAACUCCGAUUGCGAAGGCAGCUCACGGGAGCGCAACUGACGCUGAAGCUCGAAAGUGCGGGUAUCGAACAGGAUUAGAUACCCUGGUAGUCCGCACGGUAAACGAUGGAUGCCCGCUGUUGGCCUGAAUAGGUCAGCGGCCAAGCGAAAGCAUUAAGCAUCCCACCUGGGGAGUACGCCGGCAACGGUGAAACUCAAAGGAAUUGACGGGGGCCCGCACAAGCGGAGGAACAUGUGGUUUAAUUCGAUGAUACGCGAGGAACCUUACCCGGGCUUGAAUUGCAGAGGAAGGAUUUGGAGACAAUGACGCCCUUCGGGGUCUCUGUGAAGGUGCUGCAUGGUUGUCGUCAGCUCGUGCCGU